rnacentral:rRNA from 1 species
UACAGAGGUCUCAAGCGUUGUUCGGAUUCAUUGGGCGUAAAGGGUGCGUAGGCGGUCCGGUAAGUCGGCUGUGAAAGUCCAGGGCUCAACCCUGGGAUGCCGGUCGAUACUGCCGGACUAGAGUUCGGAAGAGGCGAGUGGAAUUCCCGGUGUAGCGGUGAAAUGCGCAGAUAUCGGGAGGAACACCAAUGGCGAAGGCAGCUCGCUGGGACGUUACUGACGCUGAGACGCGAAAGCGUGGGGAGCAAACAGG